GAGAUGGAUGGGGUUAUGGUGGGAUUUCUAAUCUUAUUGUAGGCGGUUCGACUCCGUUUACGUCUUU
rnacentral:tRNA from 1 species